rnacentral:rRNA from 1 species
GAUGAACGCUAGCUACAGGCUUAACACAUGCAAGUCGCGGGGCAGCAUGGGGGUUGUUUGCAACUCCCGAUGGCGACCGGCGCACGGGUGAGUAACGCGUAUCCAACCUGCCCUUCACCACGGGAUAACCCGGCGAAAGUCGGACUAAUACCGUAUGUUGUCCAUUGACGGCAUCCGAUUUGGACGAAAGGCUUUGCGGUGAAGGAUGGGGAUGCGUCCGAUUAGCCAGACGGCGGGGUAACGGCCCACCGUGGCUACGAUCGGUAGGGGUUCUGAGAGGAAGGUCCCCCACACUGGAACUGAGACACGGUCCAGACUCCUACGGGAGGCAGCAGUGAGGAAUAUUGGUCAAUGGGCGUAAGCCUGAACCAGCCAAGUAGCGUGCAGGAUGACGGCCCUAUGGGUUGUAAACUGCUUUUAUGCGGGGAUAAAGUGGCCCACGUGUGGGCUUUUGCAGGUACCGCAUGAAUAAGGACCGGCUAAUUCCGUG